rnacentral:rRNA from 1 species
AUUGCACAAUGGGCGCAAGCCUGAUGCAGCGACGCCGCGUGAGGGAUGACGGCCUUCGGGUUGUAAACCUCUUUCAGCAGGGAAGAAGCGCAAGGGGCGGUACCUGCAGAAGAAGCGCCGGCUAACUACGUGCCAGCAGCCGCGGUAAUACGUAGGGCGCAAGCGUUGUCCUGAAUUAUUGGGCGUAAAGAGCUCGUAGGCGGUUUGUCGCGUCUGCUGUGAAAACGCGAGGCUCAACCUCGCGCCUGCAGUGGGUACGGGCAUACUAGAGUGCGGUAGGGGAGACUGGAAUUCCUGGUGUAGCGGUGGAAUGCGCAGAUAUCAGGAGGAACACCGGUGGCUAAGGCGGGUCUCUGGGCCGUAACUGACGC